rnacentral:sRNA from 1 species
CACCCCUUGGUGAAGAUGAGCCGACAGGACAUGGGCCAGUACUCCCGCAAGGGCGCAGGAACCCCCAUGAGGCUACA